rnacentral:rRNA from 1 species
CACACGACCGUACCGCAAACCGACACUGGUGCGCGAGAUGAGUAUUCUAAGGCGCUUGAGAGAACUCAGGAGAAGGAACUCGGCAAAUUGACACCGUAACUUCGGAAGAAGGUGUGCCUUUAGUAGGUGAACCAUUUACUUGGGGAGCCCAAUGAGGCUGCAAAAAAUCGGUGGCUGCAACUGUUUAUUAAAAACACAGCACUCUGCUAAGACGAAAGUCGACGUAUAGGGUGUGACGCCUGCCCGGUGCUGGAAGAUUAAAUGAUGGGGUGCAAGCUCUUGAUUGAAGUCCCAGUAAACGGCGGCCGUAACUAUAACGGUCCUAAGGUAGCGAAAUUCCUUGUCGGGUAAGUUCCGACCUGCACGAAUGGCGUAAUGAUGGCCACACUGUCUCCUCCUGAGACUCAGCGAAGUUGAAAUGUUUGUGAUGAUGCAAUCUCCCCGCGGAAAGACGGAAAGACCCCAUGAACCUUUACUGUAGCUUUGUAUUGGACUUUGAACAGAUCUGUGUAGGAUAGGUGGGAGGCUUUGAAGUGUGGUCGCUAGAUCGCAUGGAGCCAACGUUGAAAUACCACCCUGGUGUGUUUGAGGUUCUAACCUAGGUCCAUUAUCUGGAUCGGGGACAGUGCAUGGUAGGCAGUUUGACUGGGGCGGUCUCCUCCCAAAGUGUAACGGAGGAGUUCGAAGGUACGCUAGGUACGGUCGGACAUCGUGCUAAUAGUGCAAUGGCAUAAGCGUGCUUAACUGCGAGACUGACAAGUCGAGCAGAUGCGAAAGCAGGACAUAGUGAUCCGGUGGUUCUGUAUGGAAGGGCCAUCGCUCAACGGAUAAAAGGUACUCUGGGGAUAACAGGCUGAUACCGCCCAAGAGUUCAUAUCGACGGCGGUGUUUGGCACCUCGAUGUCGGCUCAUCUCAUCCUGGGGCUGUAGCCGGUCCCAAGGGUAUGGCUGUUCGCCAUUUAAAGAGGUACGUGAGCUGGGUUUAAAACGUCGUGAGACAGUUUGGUCCCUAUCUUCCGUGGGCGCUGCAGAUUUGAGGAAGCCUGCUCCUAGUACGAGAGGACCGGAGUGGACGAACCUCUGGUGUAUCGGUUGUCACGCCAGUGGCAUUGCCGAGUAGCUAAGUUCGGAAGAGAUAACCGCUGAAAGCAUCUAAGCGGGAAACUCGUUUCAAGAUUAGAUCUGCCGGGGCCUUGAGCCCCCUAAAGAGUCGUUCAAGACCAGGACGUUGAUAGGUCAGGUGUGGAAGCG